rnacentral:lncRNA from 1 species
UUGCUAUUGUGAUGAUCAAUUUUCUUUUGGAUCGUCUGUUCAAUGCUAAAGUGCUAAACUUAUAAAUCUAAAAAAAUAUAUAGCUACAAACUUGUUUAUUAAAGACAUUGAACUGAAUAAUACAAUAGGAGAGGAAGAGCACUUAUGAUAGCUAUUUCUCUUCUCUAGGUUACAUUUGAAAAUAAAAAUAGAAUAUUUUAAAAAUUAAAACAAACUACAUGUCUUUUCACAUGUUAUUUUUGCGGAAAAGAUCAUGCAUAUCAUGCAUUGUGUUGUUGAAG